CCCGCCAGUGAACUGGCGGGCUAUUAUCAGGAGUCCCUCCGGGACU
rnacentral:sRNA from 1 species